AGGCUGAAUCCAGAUAAGACAGAGGUAAUUAUUCUGCAGGGUUGGAACUUGGGAGACAAUUUUGAUUUGCCGGUUCUGGAUUGGGUCAUGCUUCCCCAGAAGGAACAGCUGCUUUAGAAACCAAUGAGAGGAAUGGCAGAGUGUAAAUGGAAACUCCAUGUUCUGAGCUGUGUGUGCAGGUAGAGAAGAUGCUGUAAUAAUGGGAGGGAUUAUUAUUGCAAGACAUGACAACCAUUUACUGGGAGAUCUCUGCUCCAUCUCCCAGACAAAGACAUUUCUGUGCUGAAAAAAGUGCUCUCUUCAGCUGAUGAGGUAAUUUCUCACAAAUACUCAAGAGCCGACUGAGAAUGACAAAUGUGUCUGAAGAGUGAGAAACUGUACUGAGAAAGUCGAGGAAGAUUUUUGCAGGCCCUGUAGUCCAGUGUUCCAGUUUGGGGCUCACCAUGAUUCUGUCUAGAAGGGAAAGCGUUUGGUACACAGCCAGGUAGAUUCUGGAGCAGUAGCAGGCUGCUUGUGCCACCAGACUCCCACAACAGAAGAUUUCUGCCCAAGAAAAUUGAAAAAUUGCAGAGUAUUGAAAAAACAUGAUAUCUUUAUAACAGAAGUAUUGUCUUAAAGGAAGACAUUUGGACACCUCUGAAACAAAUGAAUAACAAUUGUCCAAAGCAGAUUGGAAAGACCCUUGGAAGUCAACUAUACCAGAAAGAGAAUUCUCCUGGAUAGUCAUCAGUCAUGGCUCCAUUUAAAUUAGAUGCUGUUUCCUCAGAGUUCGUUGUUACAGAUGGAUCAAAUGCCAACAUGGAGUAUAAGAAUGGCCUGUGGACCAGGCAGGAAAGCCUGCACGCACAGUGCUUGCAGCCCUGAGCUUGCAGACCUCCUCAAGAUUUGGCAUGCUGCGCAAAUGUCCAGUCUGGCAUGGCAGUCUAACUCAAGAGAAAAGUCAGCAAAAUGGGUUCUUCACUUCCUCACAAGGACUGAGAAUCUCAAACCGCUGCUUUUCCUGGCUGGCACUCUCACUGUAUUCUUCUGAUUUCAGCAGGACCUUCAAUCAGAUUUGGUGAUCUUAGAUGUAGACACAUCUUCUGUGGAGAACAAUGUGCACAGAUUGAAAGAGUCACCACUACUGGGGGGAAGUACUUCAGAGCAGCAGUAUAGGGAUGCCAUUCUUUUGUUUAGUAGAUAUGUUCCUGGCAGUGGGGUGGGGUCGUGUGUGAUGGGAUGGUAGGGGUGUAUGAGCUGGCUCAAAAACAAGCUGGCUUGAGCUCAAACCUGCUUUGCUCGGAAGUUCAACCUUGAGCUGAGCCAGGGUUGAACCAAACUGGCUGAGCCAGUUUGGGCCCAGUUCAAGGGUGGCAGGGGGUCGAUAAAACUGAGUUUUAAAAGUAAUGACUUACCACCAUGGAAGGCUGUGGUGGCCUCAGUGAGGAUGCUGCAGCAGUUCCCCUCCCGCACUGGCCUCCCCUCAAGUUUACUUGGGUUGGUUCUGCCUGUUUUGGGUCAUUUCAGCCUUCUGUGCAUGCACAGUGGUCAUUUUUGGGGCCAUCACACAUGCGCACUGGCCCAAACGAUGUGCACUGCAUGUGCACAGAGAGCUGAAUGGGCCCUGAAACUGGCCAAACAAGCUCAGGGAGACUUGACGGAGGCUGGUGGGGAGAGGGGGAGCCACCAGAGGACACCCCUCCCCCCGUGGCUGGAGCAGCACCCCUGAGGCCACCACAGCCCUAAGCAGCGUUAAGUCAUUACUUUUAAAACUCAAUUUUAUCGCACCACCACCACCUUUGAGCCGGGCUCAAAGCAGCUUGAAUUCGAACUGAACUGGGCCCGGCUUGAGGGGAUGCCAAAACCGAACGUGCUUGGUCUGGUUCGAAUCUGGUUCAGAUUUGAACCAAACUGGCCAAAGUGGUUUUGAGCACAUCCCUAUGGGAUGGCUGUAAAUAUUAAUUGGGUGGGGACUAGUGUGUCCAAAAGAAUGUGCAAGAAAAAUGCACAGGUGUGUAGAAGUAGCAUGUGCUAUAUGAGCAAACAAUAUACAUAGAUAGUGCAAAUGCAUCUCAAUUACUGACCCACCAACUCCAAAAUUUACCAGCUGCUAGCCAAAAUUUAUCAGACUCUGUCCCUCCAGCAUUAUUUCUGCAGAUGUUCUUAUUCUGUACCAUAUACAAAUUUACAAAAAAAAAAACCCUUAAAAAACAACAA